AUGGCAUCCCGUCAGAGCACUGCUAUCAGGGUCAGUGAAAAAAAGCUGAAAAAGUGGCUGAAACUUAAGGAACUACCAGUUAACCUUGAUAAUAUAUGCUGUGUGCGUUGACUUUCACAACGUACUUGAUAUCAGGCAGGUUCUUCCAGAAUUACCUCAACACCAGUUGAACGUCACAUGACUGCACCUCCCUGACAUUUCCAGUGUUUCUGGCGGGUCAUCCUCUGAUAGAGAUGGAGACUUUGCUGAGAAGGGUCUAGGUGUCAAAGAAGUCGGGGAGACUGAGGUUCAAGUUUUGGAAACAAGAUAAGUGGUUUUCACCAUUUAUGGCAAACUCUGGAGUGUACUGUCAGAGCUCUGACAGCAGUUGUGGUGACAGGACAGAACUUGAUAUUAUACUGUCGGGUGGGUAGGGUUGGUUAAUUCAAGUAAAUUAAUUCAUUCAAGAGUUAGACAAGGGGAAAAGUGUAUAUGUAUUUAUACACAUGUAUAUAUGUAAUGCCAUAUUUGUUUUUUGUUUUUUUCCCCCCCUUGGUAGUAUGUCAUUGCUGGGCAUAAACGAGGAGAUUGAUGAAAAUUAAUAUAACAACAUUCUGUGCUGACUGUCAUCGAGUAUUUAUUUAUUUUUUUUUUCUACAUAGCAUUGAUUGGACUGAGGAUAAAACAUGGCCUCCAGGUGACGACACAGGGGAUGUUUCAUAUUCAGAGGAAGAGGAAACCAUCGAGGGGGACAGCGAUGAGGAUGACAGUGACAAUGAUUACAUUCCCAAUUUAUGUGUACAGUGAGUGUUGAAGAAUCAUUCAAGUCCUGUUGAGUUGUUUGCUGUGGUGAUGUGUUUAUUCAAAGACUACCCAUAACCUGGUGAACUGACAGGCACACACAUUUAACACUGUGAUCAAACCAGGUCUAGACGUCCUUUGCGGGGCUUAUCUGCAGGGUUUAGGAGACAUGGAUCACCAUUUAGGUCUUGAGGUCAAAGGGCUUUUCCCAGAUGUCACUCCAAAUGUGUAUUUUCUUCCUCAGGUCCUAACUAAGGUAGAAUGACAAUUAUUAUCUUUUCUCAUUGUUUUAUCUAUUCAUAAAGCACUAGUGGUACCAUGCAAACUAGGAUAUGUUUGGGUGCCCUUCAGCCAAGCAUGGAAGACACUGUAACAGACACAGCAGACACAGAGCCAACUAAGCCACCAUUAUUGACAGACAGAAUUAUAGUCAACAUUGAGGAUGAGAUCACUGGUCAACCGGCAUCAAAUGCUUAUCAUCAAAUGCUUAUCAUGUCUGCCUGCAACAACUUCUACUGCCAAUUCCACUCUGCACAGUCUAUUACCCACUGACAUCUGUGGAAUGUCUGGCUCCUUGUCUAUUCAAGAUCCUGACAAGGUGCAGAGGAAC